rnacentral:rRNA from 1 species
UACGAAGGGGGCUAGCGUUGUCCGGAAUUAUUGGGCGUAAAGGGCUCGUAGGCGGUUUGUCGCGUCGGGAGUGAAAACCCAGGGCUUAACCCUGGGCUGGCUUCCGAUACGGGCAGACUAGAGGUAUGCAGGGGAGAACGGAAUUCCUGGUGUAGCGGUGAAAUGCGCAGAUAUCAGGAGGAACACCGGUGGCGAAGGCAGCACUCUGGGACGUGACUGACGCUGAGACGCGAAAGCGUGGGGAGCAAACAGG